ACGCACGCUGGCUGCGUGCUUAACACCUGCCAGCCGAACGGUGAGGCGCCUUCCUUUUUGGUGGGUGUGGAUGAGUGGCGAACGGGUGAGUAACACGUGAGUAACCUGCCCCCUUCUUCUGGAUAACCGCAUGAAAGUGUGGCUAAUACGGGAUAUUCUGGGUCUGUCGCAUGAUGGGUCUGGGAAAGAUAUUGUUUCGGUGGGGGAUGGGCUCGCGGCCUAUCAGCUUGUUGGUGGGGUGAUGGCCUACCAAGGCGGUGACGGGUAGCCGGCCUGAGAGGGUGGACGGUCACACUGGGACUGAGACACGGCCCAGACUCCUACGGGAGGCAGCAGUGGGGAAUAUUGCACAAUGGGCGCAAGCCUGAUGCAGCGACGCCGCGUGAGGGAUGGAGGCCUUCGGGUUGUGAACCUCUUUCGCCAGUGAAGCAGGCCUGCCUCGUUUGUGGGUGGGUUGACGGUAGCUGGAUAAGAAGCGCCGGCUAACUACGUG
rnacentral:rRNA from 1 species